rnacentral:rRNA from 1 species
GUGCCAGCCGCCGCGGUAAUUCCAGCUCCAAUAGCGUAUAUUAAAGUUGUUGUGGUUAAAAAGCUCGUAGUUGAACCUUGGGCCUGGCUGGCCGGUCCGCCUCACCGCGUGCACUGGUCCGGCCGGGCCUUUCCCUCUGUGGAACCCCAUACCCUUCACUGGGCGUGGCGGGGAAACAGGACAUUUACUUUGAAAAAAUUAGAGUGCUCCAGGCAGGCCUAUGCUCGAAUACAUUAGCAUGGAAUAAUAAAAUAGGACGCGCGGUUCUAUUUUGUUGGUUUAUAGGACCGCCGUAAUGAUUAAUAGGGACAGUCGGGGGCAUCAGUAUUCAACUGUCAGAGGUGAAAUUCUUGGAUCAGUUGAAGACUAACUACUGCGAAAGCAUUUGCCAAGGAUGUUUUCAUUAAUCAGGAACGAAAGUUAGGGGAUCGAAGACGAUCAGAUACCGUCGUAGUCUUAACCAUAAACUAUGCCGACUAGGGAUCGGACGGUGUUAUUCAUGACCCGUUCGGCACCUUACGAGAAAUCAAAGUGCUUGGGCUCCAGGGGGAGUAUGGUCGCAAGGCUGAAACUUAAAGAAAUUGACGGAAGGGCACCACCAGGGGUGGAGCCUGCGGCUUAAUUUGACUCAACACGGGGAAACUCACCAGGUCCAGACACAAUAAGGGAUUGACAGAUUGAGAGCUCUUUUCUUGAUUUUGUGGGUGUGUGCAUGGCCGUUCUUAGUUGGUGGGGUGACUUGUCUGCUUAUUGCGAUACGAACGAGACCUUAACCUGCUAAAUAGCCCGCAUUGCUCCGGCAGUGCCGCU